UACAGAGGAGCCAAGCGUUGUCCGGAUUUACUGGGCGUAAAGAGCGCGCAGGCGGUCGUUCAAGUCGAGUGUGAAAGCCCCCGGCUCAACUGGGGAGGGUCACUCGAUACUGAUCGACUUGAAGGCAGGAGAGGGAAGCGGAAUUCCCGGUGUAGUGGUGAAAUGCGUAGAUAUCGGGAGGAACACCCGUGGCGAAGGCGGCUCUCUGGGACGGUACUGACGCUGAGACGCGAAAGCGUGGGGAGCGAACAGG
rnacentral:rRNA from 1 species